GUUUGUCAUAUCAUGCCGUGGUCCAGGCUGUACCAAAAAGCAUAUGGGCACACAUGCUGACUGGGUGACAAACUGCUUGUUGAAAGACUAAGUUCUUCGAGGCAGCAACUGUCCUUGUCUGCACGAUGCAUAUUCUGAUGUGGUCAACUUGCCAUGUGUACCUGCGUGUGGAAAAUGAGGAUUAACUAGGCUUCAAAAUGAAAGUGAGGAAGAAGAGUCACUAGAAGUAUUAAUCUGAACAGUAAUUACUGCUGGUUGCUGCUCUUACGAAAAAUCCAAACAUAGCAGAUGUAUCUGGUCCAGGCUUUGAGUAAACUGAAGUUCUCCUUGCCUUCCAUAGAAGAACAAAAAGAGAGCGAGUUAGAAUUGCACCUGAGUUAUUUCACUGGCUGCUGGACUAGUGGAAUUACUUGUUUAUCUCAAACCCUAAGAUGCAGUUGUGUUUAUUUCCUACUGUUAUGGCAAAGAAUAUAUACCAAGAAUGAUACAAUAUUAAUGCUUUCUAUGUACAGCCACAUAAAGAACUUCUCUAAGAAGUUGCUGUAG
rnacentral:lncRNA from 1 species